UAUUUUUUGCAAAACUUCCUCCCAAAAUUUCCCUCUGAAAAUCUCCUCAGAAAAAACCCUACUCCCUGCGAUAACCAUCAAAAGUCGUAACAAUAACAUUCAAGUUCAUUUUCCCCUCCCCAAUUUCUCUAUCUCAUCCAAAUCCCUCCACCCCAACCGUGAACCUCAAGCACCUUAAGGAAUAGCAGCCACCAACAAAGGUUUCUUCUAAUCUCAAGGUUGCACAACUCAUAUGUUGCUCUAUUCGGAAGGAAAGCUAACAAUGCUUAUUGUUUCUUGUUGCCUUCCACACCUCCAUUGUUGAAAUGUACUGAUAGCUAUGCUGGUUGAUUAGCUGAAAAAUAAGGUGGCACACAUGUGAUUGGCAUGUGUUCGUGUGACAUGGAGUCGCAGUGAGAAGGUCUAGUGUGUGGCAUCUUAUGGGAAAUAGCAGUAGUGGAGAGGAAGCUGCUAAAGGGAAGUAGGAGAAAGAGUGGAAUUGGAGGGGAAGCUGUCAAAGGGAAGCAGCAGAAAGAGUGGAAGAAAGAGUUGUGGAAGUGAAGAAAUCUCUUGUUGCUGAACUAGUUGCAUUUUACAUGAAUCCAGACUAAUAGUUUGAUCCAAGCAUUAUUCAAUUAUAGACGUACAAUUAUGUAUAAUUUCAUUCUUGGAAUUAGUUAUAGAGAUCUUCUAUAUACAAAUAGUUUAUUUCGGUUCACAUUCUCUAUGUUGAAUGACAUUUGUAAGUAUAUAAAUUUGAUAUUUGAUUGUUAUGAUUUCUAUAUUUCUAGUAAAUAUCAUUUCAAUA